UGUGUACCCACAGAGGAAAGACCAUGUGAGGACACAACAAGAAGGUGGCCAUCUGCAAGCCAAGAAGAGAGGCUUCUGGAGAAACCAAACCUGCUGACCCCUUGAUCUUGGACUCUAGCCUCCAGAACUAGGAUAAUAUUAAUAUCCCAAGUGUCCAGAGGGAGAAGGUUAACACACCAGUACGGAAAUGAGCUGGAUGCUGACUGAUGUACAAAAAUAUCAAAGCUUCUUUUAAGGUGCCAAGCAGUCCUCCAGGCUGCAGAGAAAGCUGUUCUGUGAGAUCUGCUUCCGCUUUAGGGUGUGGUGGAUAGCAGAAAAGAACAGGAAGGAAAUUUUCAACAGACAACAGAAUCUCUUACGGCUGGCACCCAGAGCGUACCAUUUGCAUCCCUUUCCUGACACACUACUGAUAGCUUGGCACAGUUGAUGUCUGAAGAGAUACUGAGCCCCAUAGAAAGUGUGCUACUCUCUGCUGGUUUCUUAUGAUAGCUUUGCUCACUGAGGCAGAGCAGCCCGCAAAACUGUUCAAUAUAUCUGAUUGGCAGCUAUCCUCAAGUGUAGCUGACAGACCCCGAGAACACACUCCCUCCUCCUUGUUUCUAAGUGUUACAGAACCUGGUCUGCCCUGGUGGAAGAACCAAGCGGCACUCAGGGAUCUUGGAAGGCAGAAGGUUUACUUCACACUGGCGGGCACAGAAGAGAUCACUCUCCAGGGGU